CAGCCGCCGCGGUAAUACGUAGGUGGCAAGCGUUGUCCGGAAUUAUUGGGCGUAAAGGGCUCGCAGGCGGUUUCUUAAGUCUGAGGUGAAAGGUUCAACGCUUAACGUGAACAGUGCCCUGGAUACUGGGGAGCUUGAGUAUGGGAGAGGGCAGUGGAAUGGCUGGUGUAGCGGUGAAAUGCGUAGAUAUCAGUCGGAACACCCAUGGCGAAGGCAGCUGCCUGGCCUAAUACUGACGCUGAGGUGCGAAAGCGUGGGGAGCGAACGGGAUUAGAGACCCCGUAGUCCCUGUCUCUUAUAC
rnacentral:rRNA from 1 species